GAGAGUAUAGCUCAGUGGCAGAGGGUGUGCUUGGGAAGCACAAGGUCCUAGAUUCAAAUCCCAGUGUCUCCA
rnacentral:tRNA from 1 species